rnacentral:rRNA from 1 species
AUUGAACGCUGGCGGCAUGCCUUACACAUGCAAGUCGAACGGCAGCACGGGAGCAAUCCUGGUGGCGAGUGGCGAACGGGUGAGUAAUAUAUCGGAACGUGCCCAGUAGUGGGGGAUAACUGCUCGAAAGAGCAGCUAAUACCGCAUACGACCUGAGGGUGAAAGGGGGGGAUCGCAAGACCUCUCGCUAUUGGAGCGGCCGGUAUCAGAUUAGCUAGUUGGUGGGGUAAAGGCCUACCAAGGCAACGAUCUGUAGUUGGUCUGAGAGGACGACCAGCCACACUGGGACUGAGACACGGCCCAGACUCCUACGGGAGGCAGCAGUGGGGAAUUUUGGACAAUGGGCGCAAGCCUGAUCCAGCAAUGCCGCGUGCAGGAAGAAGGCCUUCGGGUUGUAAACUGCUUUUGUCAGGGAAGAAAUCCUCUAGGUUAAUACCCUUGGGGGGAUGACGGUACCUGAAGAAUAAGCACCGGCUAACUACGUGCCAGCAGCCGCCGUAAUAC